rnacentral:rRNA from 1 species
UACUGGUGUGGAGGUGGCGCACGGGUGAGUAACACGUAGGUAAUCUGCCUUCAGGUCUGACAUAACCCCGAGAAAUCGGGGCUAAUAGCAGAUGAUGCAGCGGCUUGACAUCAAGACAGUUGUUAAGGCUUCGGCGCCUGAAGAUGAGCCUGCGUCUGAUUAGCUAGUUGGCGGAGUAAUGGCCCACCAAGGCUACGAUCAGUAACUGGUCUGAGAGGAUGAUCAGUCACACUGGAACUGAGACACGGUCCAGACUCCUACGGGAGGCAGCAGUAAGGAAUAUUGCUCAAUGGGAGAAAUCCUGAAGCAGCAACGCCGCGUGAGGGAUGAAGGGCUUUUGCUCGUAAACCUCUGUAGUGAGGGAAAAAAUUUCCACUCUGUGGAAUAUGAUGGUACCUCAAAAGUAAGCCCCGGCUAACUACGUG